AUUGAAGACACUUGACGAAUACGUCGGCAACAGACUCCUUUGGUGGCAACAGACUCCUUUGGUGAACAACACAAUGAAGUGGUUGGUUUUGGCUUUCAGCGUGGCUCUGCUGUUCACAGCUGGUGCAGCUCUGGAGUGCACUCGUUGUGUGCACUUGCCCGUGUCUAAUGUUUGUACGGAGGUGAGGCAACGAUGUGAGGAGGGCCAAGUCUGCGGCUUGGCAAGAGAUAAGUAUGGCAGAGUCUCACUUUGUGUGGAUAAGUGACAAAAGACAGCAGAGAAACCCUGGAUCCAAAGAGCUCCAACAA